GCAAAGCAUGUGGCGGAAUAAUUGGUACAAUCAAGGAGAGGUCUUGCUUACCUGAAACCAGCAGUUGCAAGAUUUUUGCAUAAUGUCCUUUCACUUGGCAAGUGAUCUGAAUUAAUUGCUCAUAGGGUAAUAUAAGGAGCGGGGGUGGGGGUGAUACUGAGAGCUUCCUUCUUGACAGGACUGUUGUUUACCGUCAUUACCUCAUGUAAUUAUUAAGUCGAUUUUUUGCUAAAUGCUUAAUGUACGAAAAUGUUAUUCUCUGAAAGGAAACAUGCUGUAAAGGGCUCUUCCUGUCUUCAUCGUGAUCGACACUUGAAAAUACUUACUAAAGAAUACAUCCAAUAAAGGACUCCCCUCCACAACCCUUUGUGAUGAAAGGGUUUAUUCAGAAUGGAAAGUGGAGAGAAGUACACAAGAUAAAUAGCUCUAGCUGGACUAUUACUACAGUAUACUACAGUAUACUUCCUGUCCGGGUUGGUGCCCCCCCUUGGGUUGUGCCGUGGCGGAGAUCUUUGUGGGCUAUACUCGGCCUUGUCUCAGGAUGGACCUGAGCCCUAGGACCAUGCCUCAGGACUAACUGGCCUGAUGACUCCUUGCUGUCCCCAGUCCACCUGGCCAUGCUGCUGCUCCAGUAUCAACUGUUCUGCCUGCGGCUAUGGAAUCCUGACCUGUUCCAGACUUGCUACCUGUCCUAGACUUGCUGUUUUCAACUCUCUAGAGACAGCAGGAGCGGUAGAGAUACUCUGAAUGAUCGGCUAUGAAAAGCCAAAUGACAUUUACUCCUGAGGUGCUGACCUGUUGCACCCUCGACAACCACUGUGAUUAUUAUUAUUUGACCCUGCUGGUCAUUAUGUUUUGUUAUAAUCUCCACCCGGCACAGCCGGAAGAGGACUGGCCAACCCUCAUAGCCUGGUUCCUAUCUAGGUUUCUUCCUAGGUUCUGGCCUUUCUAGGGAGUUUUUCCUAGCCACCGUGCUUCUACACCUGCAUUGCUUGCUGUUUGGGGUUUUAGGCUGGGUUUAUGUACAGAACUUUGUGACAUCAGCUGAUGUAAGAAGGGCUUUAUAAAUACAUUUGAUUGAUUGAUUGAUUGAUUGAUUGACUACAAACCCCAGGUUCCAUUUCACCUCCCAGGAUGCAAUGCUCCACCCAGUCUGCAGUUAGUUUAGCAUUCUAGCAAGCCCAGACAAAGCUUGUGUCAUAAAUUAUGAGUGCAUUUCACCUUACUUUUGGGUUGUAAUCAUUUUAUAAUGGUUACAUGAAUAUCAUGCUGAAUAUAUGUUCAUGUCAGUAACCACAUUUCCAUCAAACCAUAAGAUGUGGAUAAAUUACCUUACCCACUAAAACAGUCACGACCAGGCUGACAGAAACGGACGUGGAAUUUUAUGAAUUCUGCCGACAGACAAUUUGUUCGUUCGACAUGGUGGAAUCUUUUUGAAUCUGUAAAACUAAUUAUGCGAGAAAUGACGGUGGAAACGCCUUUAUGUGCAAAUAUUGAUAUAAUAACCAUCAUAUUGAAGUAAACAUGGAGCUAUGCGACGAUAUGUUGUGUGGUCCUCCCACUACGACUGGGAAAAGCAUGCAAUUUAUUAUGCUACAUAUUAAAUAAGUUACAAUGAACUUCACAGGGUGGUGAAUGUGUAAGGUGAUCAGCUUGAUGCUCCUUUCCAAUAAGCUAUAUGGAAUUGUUUUAAGAAGGUCAUACCAAGGAUCAUUUCGCUAUUUGAGUUGACAUUUUAAGACCCCUUGAAGUAUAAAAAAUAUAUAUAAAUAUAUAAAGAACAAUUACCUUCCCUGUGGCUCAGUUGGUAGAGCAUGGUGUUUGCAAUGCCAGCAUGGUGUGUGCAACGCCAGGGUUGUGGGUUUGAUUCC
rnacentral:lncRNA from 1 species